rnacentral:rRNA from 1 species
UCGACGAUUGGAAGGGGUGUAUUUAUUAGAUUAAAAGCCAACGCCCUUCGGGGCUCUCUGGUGAUUCAUAAUAACUGGUCGAAUCGCAUGGCCUUGCGCCGGCGAUGGUUCAUUCAAAUUUCUUCCCUAUCAACUUUCGAUGCGAGGGUCUUGUCCUCGCAUGGUUGCAACGGGUAACGGAGGGUUAGGGCUCGACCCCGGAGAAGGAGCCUGAGAAACGGCUACUACAUCCAAGGAAGGCAGCAGGCGCGCAAAUUACCCAAUCCCGACACGGGGAGGUAGUGACAAUAAAUACUGAUACAGGGCUCUUUUGGGUCUUGUAAUCGGAAUGAGUACAAUUUAAAUCCCUUAACGAGGAACAAUUGGAGGGCAAGUCUGGUGCCAGCAAAUC